rnacentral:rRNA from 1 species
UACGUAGGGGGCAAGCGUUGUCCGGAAUCAUUGGGCGUAAAGCGCGUGUAGGCGGCUCGGUAAGUCCGCUCUGAAAGUCCAGGGCUCAACCCUGGGAUGCGGGUGGAUACUGCCGGGCUUGAGUCCGGAAGAGGCGAGUGGAAUUCCUGGUGUAGCGGUGAAAUGCGCAGAUAUCAGGAGGAACACCAAUGGCGAAGGCAGCUCGCUGGGACGGUACUGACGCUGAGACGCGAAGGCGUGGGGAGCGAACGGG